rnacentral:misc_RNA from 1 species
GGUUUAACUCAUUGCAUUAGCUAUUAGCCUUUAGCACAUCAAGACGGCCGCUCACCGAUGCGUUUCUCUUCCCGAGAGGUUCCUCCGACUGUGCUCACACAGGUCCUGGUCGUCCCGGGAGAUUUCUUCGGCAGCUUUUCCGAGUCUGAUCCACUUUUCUUGUUUUAUCUUCCUAUGGUGAGUGUCUGUUUAAUGCGCCUUGCUCUCUCUCUUCCCGGCAACUUCAGAGGAAGUGAACCUGCUCCGAUCAGCUCAAUGGGCGGGGCUUCUUUUCUGAUUGGGUG